ACCAAGAACAGCCACGAUAAGUGACAAACCCAUCAAGAACUAACUAGCAACAACAACAACAACAGCAACCGGCACUUCAAAUCUACAACCAUGCAGCGUCUACGUACAACAUUUACGCGCUCGCGCACACCAACUGGCGCCGAAAUGAAAAUGCAGAAUAGCCUCGAGGUUCCCAAGCAGGUGCGUUCCGCCUCGUUCGAUGAGAUGCAGCUGGAGGCGCAGCGCUCGUCCGCUCAUCUGCUGAAGCAGCAGUCAUCCUCGUCGGCUGACGAGAGAUCAUCGGAGGGCGGAUAUUUGCAGGUACCGCAGGCAGCCCAUGCCCAACGCUCGCACAGCUUCGACUCGGCGGCUGCCUCGGUGGGCAGCGAUGAUUCUGGCGCCUUUCUAGAGGUGCCGCGCCGCCUAAAGGCCCGACGCAGCUCAUCGACAAAGACACCGCCGCCGUGCAUCCAUUGCUACUACGUCGAACAGUACGAAAAGCAGAUGAGCGCCGAGCAGCGCUACUUCAUUGAUCAUCGCGAGCUAACGACUCUCAGCUGCAGCAACACCAGCUCCGAGGAAAGCGAUGAUGAGGACAUUUCCGGGGCGCUAGAGGAUGACAACGCAGAUGGGGCGGCUGCCCCCGUUGAUACUGGUGCCGCUUCCGACGCGGAUCCCGAUGCAGCUGCACAGGCGAAGGCGCAGCCCGAAGCCGAUGUGGAGGCCGAUGCGGAGGUGAAUGUGAAUGUCUGUAGCGAGCCAGACGCCAGCGGCGGCACUGAGCUGGACGACGAUGCUGCCGUCGAGAUGGACAUACGCAUGUCCAAUCUGAGCAUGGGCAUGAGCAUGGGCAGCAGCAUUGAGGAGUCGCGAGCUCGCCUACCGCGCCAGAUGCGCCGCCACACCAUUGGCAGCUCGGUGACCACCUCUGAGGAUGAAGGUCUGGAGAGUUCCGAUCAUGGCUCUCCGCACUUUGGCAACACGCUGCUGCCACCGCAGCCGACCACGCCAUGCGGCAUCACGUUCACCCUCUCGCCGACCAAUGGCGAUUAUCCACCAUUUCCGACCUAUGCGUUCCCCAUUGAUCCCGGCUCACCGCCCAUGUCGCCCAUGCCCGUCGCACGGGCCAGCCCAUUGCUGGAGCUACCGCCAACUGCAACUGGACAUCAGCAGUUGGGCGCCACUGCGGCCGCUGCCGCUGCAGCGCUAACUCUACCGGCUAUUGCCACCAGUGGUGCGGCCAGCUGCGUCAGCGCCGAUGCCGACGAUGCUGGCGCUGCUAUGGGCGUACCAAUGGGACGGGCCAGACGUCGCUCCAUUUCGCGACAGGAAGCCAUCUUUGUGGAGCCUACCGGCAGCUCGCUGGAGAAUGUAUCGCACGAGGAGGUGGACACCACCAAGUCAUCAGUAGACACCGCCGAUUCGCUCGAGGAAGCCUCCACCAUGGCCACCUGUGGCUCUCCGACGGCAGCCGCUGCCGCUGCUGCCCAUCAUGCAGCAUUUGUGGUGCGAGACAUUUAUCUAACCGUGCCCGAUCUGAAGCGCGAUCGAGCCGCUUCGGUAGACUCGUGCUUCUCGAAGCUCUCAUCUGGCGGCAAGACCGAGGAACUACAGCCUUCCGAUGACGGUUGUUUCCUCGCCGUGCCCAAUGUCAAUGCAACGCGCUCCCGAUCCGUGGACAUUGUCCUGCCCACCGACGAGCAGGCUCGCUACAAGGCGCUCGCCAUGACCGGAAGUGGAGCAGCCGGUGGCCUCUAUGCGGAUGGACGUACGGCCUCUUCGAGCAAUGCCCGUAGGCCGAUACGCAUUGUGCCGGACUGGACAGAGAAUGCGGUGCAGGGUGAACAUUACUGGAAACCCACCUCGGCCUCGGGUGAUCUCUGCUGUCUCAACGAGGAGUGCAUUAAGAGCGGACAGCGCAUGAAGUGCUCGGCUUGUCAGCUGAUUGCACAUCAGAAUUGCAUUCCAAUAGUGAAUGAAAAGACUCAGCUAGCGUGUAAGCCAACCUAUCGAGAUGUGGGCAUCAGACAGUACCGGGAACAGACGACCACCCAUCACCACUGGGUGCACCGCAAGCUUGAGAAGGGCAAGUGCAAGCAUUGUGGCAAGGCGGUGCAGAGUAAACUCUUUGGAUCGAAGGAAAUUGUCGCUCUAUCCUGUGCGUGGUGCCACGAGAUUUACCAUAAUAAGGAGUCGUGCUUCAAUCAGGCCAAGAUUGGCGAGGAAUGCCGCCUGGGCAACUAUGCGCCCAUCAUUGUGCCACCGUCAUGGAUUGUCAAGCUACCAAAUAAGGGCAACUUUAAGUCCUCGAUACGUGUGAGCAACAAGACCAGUUCGGCCGGUGGUCCGGCUAGUGGUGGAACUGGUUCUGGUGCUGGUGGCAAGAGUAAGAAGAACACCCAGAAACGCCAGAAGGCCAAGGAGGAGAAAAAGGAGCCUCGAGCCUUCAUUGUGAAGCCCAUUCCAUCGCCGGAUGUAAUACCGGUUAUUGUCUUUAUCAAUCCAAAAUCUGGUGGCAAUCAGGGCGUCAAGCUAUUGGGCAAGUUCCAGCAUUUGCUCAAUCCGCGCCAGGUAUUCGAUCUGACACAAGGUGGUCCCAAAAUGGGUCUGGACAUGUUCCGCAAGGCUCCGAAUUUACGCGUGUUGGCCUGCGGCGGAGAUGGCACCGUCGGUUGGGUGCUAUCCGUACUGGAUCAGAUCCAUCCACCGCUGAUGCCGGUGCCGGCGGUGGGCGUCUUGCCACUGGGCACCGGCAAUGAUCUCGCCCGUUCGCUCGGCUGGGGCGGCGGCUAUACUGAUGAGCCUAUUGGCAAGGUACUGCGUGAGAUCGGCAUGUCGCAGUGCGUCCUAAUGGAUCGCUGGAGUGUCAAGGUGACGCCCAACGAGGAUGUGACCGAUGAUCAUGUCGAUCGCAGCAAGUCGAAUGUGCCGCUGAACGUGAUCAACAAUUACUUCAGCUUUGGCGUGGAUGCGCACAUUGCGCUUGAAUUCCAUGAGGCACGCGAGGCUCAUCCGGAACGCUUCAAUUCACGGCUACGCAACAAGAUGUACUACGGCCAGAUGGGCGGCAAGGAUCUGAUUCUGCGCCAAUAUCGCAAUCUCUCGCAGUGGGUGACCCUCGAGUGCGAUGGCCAAGAUUAUACAAGCAAGCUACGCGAUGCCGGCUGCCAUGCUGUACUCUUUCUCAACAUACCAAGCUAUGGCGGCGGCACACAUCCCUGGAACGACUCUUUUGGUCAGACUAAGCCCACCAUUGAUGACGGACUCAUGGAGGUCGUGGGCCUGACCACCUAUCAGCUACCUAUGCUGCAGGCGGGCAUGCACGGCACCUGCAUCUGCCAGUGCCGCAAGGCCCGCAUCAUCACCAGACGUACCAUUCCCAUGCAGGUCGAUGGCGAGGCCUGUCGCGUCAAGCCAUCCAUCAUUGAGAUCGAGCUGCUCAACCAGGCUCUUAUGUUGUCCAAGCGCAAGCACGGACGCGGGGAUGUUCAAGUCAAUCCGCUGGAGAAGAUGCAGCUGGGAAUUUUAAGAGUAACCAUGCAGCAAUACGAGCAAUACCACUACGACAAGGAAAUGCUACGCAAGUUGGCCAACAAGCUGGGACAGAUUGAGAUUGAAUCGCAGUGCGAUUUGGAGCAUGUGCGCAGCAUGCUGAAUGCCAAGUUCGAGGAGUCCAUAUCGUAUCCUAAGGUCUCGCAGGACUGGUGCUUCAUUGACUCGUGCACUGCUGAGCAUUACUUUCGCAUUGAUCGGGCCCAGGAGCACUUGCAUUACAUCUGUGACAUUGCCAUUGACGAACUCUAUAUACUGGAUCAUGAAGCGGCUACCAUGCCGCAGACACCGGAUCAGGAACGCUCUUUUGCAGCAUUUUCACAGCGCCAGGCGCAGAACGAACGGCGACAGCUGGAUCAGACACAGGGACGCGGCACUGGCACUGGCACUGGCACUGGAACUGGCACUGGCACUGGCACUGGCACCGGCUCUGGCUCUGGCACCGGCAACGGUACCGGCACCGGCACGGCAUUCUUUUAUUUCGCAUGUUUAGCAACUAACUGAUACACACACAUACACAGACGUGCACACACACAAACACACACACACACACACACACACAUAUAUAUAUAUAUAAAUAUGUAUGUAUGUAUUAAGUGCGGGAGCGAAUACAGCUUAGUCCUUGCCACGCCCACAUUUACUCGUAACAGCGACAAGGGCUAAACCGUAUUCCGUUCUCGUCCAAAACCCACACCAACAACCAAUCAACCAAUCAGCCAAUCAACCAAUCAGUCAAUCAACCAAUCAGCCAAAACUCAAUUCCAAACAACACACAAAUUCAGACCACAAAGUGUUCAAAUUGCAAUCCAAAACACAGCGACGGCCCUAUACUGGAGCAAACUUCCGAUGCCAUACUACUA
rnacentral:misc_RNA from 1 species